UUCUUUCUCUCUCAUCCUACUCUCUCUCUCUCUCUCUCUCUCUCUCGUCCUCCUCCUCUCCUGCGAACACUCUCUCUUUCUCGUCCUCUUUUUUCUUCAUAUUCUCGUUCUACCUUAGAUGCUGGGUUUUGUUUUUCGAUUUCUUUUGUUAACCAGCUUCCAAACGCUGCUCCAGUGGAAGGAAAAAAGGAAUUGUGUAUUUCUCUGUAGGAAUUGUCUCCUUUUUCUUUAUAAUCUUAGCGUUUCUUAUUAUCUGAUGGAAAUGCUGCUUCAGAAUCAGGACGAGGAGAUACGGUAAGGAAAGUUCUGGCUGUCUACCGUAAUGAUUGAGCAUUUGUGUAACUGACUUAAUUUUCAAAUAACAAAACAGAAGUUCUAUCUCAAAGGGAUAGCCUAGGAUUGUCAACUCACUGUGAUAGUAUUUUUCAUAGGACUUACAACCAUCUGGUUGUUGCAAGUUUGGAUAACUGCUGUUGAAUUGUAUUUAGUUCACUGGUAACAAAUUUAAGAAAAUUGAGAGAUACCGCAUUUAUGACCUUCGAGAGAAGGGUCAUGGACUUCUAUUUCUGCAUUUACCCUAUAAAGCAUAUGAUAGUUCCAUUUGUGGCUAACUUUUCUAGUUUGGGAUUGAGGGAAAAGAUGCCCUUAAUUUGCAACCUUUUACAAGCUUCGGCGAUAAUUUGUUGCAUUUUAUUUGAUGCAAUACGAGGAUUCUCAUACAUGCUGCAGGUGGUUGUUGCUAUUCUCUGCUAUUUGAUACAUGCAUCAUGGCCAAGUGUGCAACAGACUGCACCAGAAGACUGCAGACCACCACAAAGCAAACCACAAAAGUUCAAAGCUGCAACAACCACUCAAAACGAACAAGGAGUACCCAGUCUGACUUGAACCAACCUUACUUUGCUGGUCUGUGUAGUAAGCUAAACUUAAAAUAAUAGGACUCCAGGCAUUUGGAAAUUGUAACUGAAACUUCUGCUUGCCUGUUCUAAAAAAUCAGCCAACAUACCUUAAAGAUUUUAGUUUACUUUUACAUAAAUUUAGUUUAUUUAUAUAGAGAUUUAGUCUACUUUAAGAUAAAUAGAUAUUGGAGCUGAGGAAAUCAAGGCAGCUAGUGUUUUGGUCUUUGCUUUACUUUUAUUUAUUCUAUCUAAAAACACU